rnacentral:rRNA from 1 species
UGCAGUCGAACGGCAGCAGACCGCGACAAUCCCUUCGGGGUGCGUUUGGUGCUGGCGAGUGGCGGACGGGUGAGUAACACGUAGGAAUCUGCCCAACAGUGGGGGACAACCCGGGGAAACUCGGGCUAAUACCGCAUACGCCCUACGGGGGAAAGCGGGGGACUUUCGGGCCUCGCGCUGAUGGAUGAGCCUGCGUCGGAUUAGCUUGUUGGUGAGGUAACGGCUCACCAAGGCGACGAUCCGUAGCUGGUCUGAGAGGAUGAUCAGCCGCACUGGGACUGAGACACGGCCCAGACUCCUAUGGGAGGCAGCAGUGGGGAAUAUUGCACAAUGGGCGAAAGCCUGAUGCAGCCAUACCGCGUGGGUGAAGAAGGCCUUAGGGUUGUAAAGCCCUUUCAGUUGGGAAGAAAAGUUCGGGGAUAAUACCCCCGAAUCUUGACGGUACCUACAGAAGAGGCACCGGCUAACUCAGUGCCAGCAGCCGCGGUAAUACUGAGGGUGCAAGCGUUAAUCGGAAUUACUGGGCGUAAAGCGCGCGUAGGCGGCUUGGUCAGUCAGAUGUGAAAGCCCCGGGCUUAACCUGGGAACUGCAUUUGAAACUGCUAGGCUAGAGUGUGGUAGAGGGAAGUGGAAUUCCGCGUGGAGCGGUGAAAUGCGUAGAGAUGCGGAGGAACACCAGUGGCGAAGGCGACUUCCUGGACCAACACUGACGCUCAGGUGCGAAAGCGUGGGGAGCAAACAGGAUUA